CGCGCGUUGGGCACUGUGACUUGGUGCCUUCUUCGGCUCCAGGCUGACUUACUUGAGGAAGUACCUCUGGCCAGUGGCCGUGAAGGUCAUCUCCCAGCCCGGGGGCAGUGGCAGCUCGUCGGUCACGUCGUAGGACUGCUGGCGGAGGUGCGCGUGCUGCUGCGCGGGGCUACCCGCAGCACCCGCGCCGGUGCCCAGCUGCAGGGACGCGGGCGACGAGUGCGAGCGGACAUGCUGGGCACCCCCAGCCAGUCGAGGCCCCGGGUGGCCGCCCGACGAGUCGGUGCUGGACUGGCGCGAGUGCGAGCCCGAAUCAGGCUCCUUAAAGAAAGACUCCGGCAGGAUCUUCUUCCGCCACGAGCUAGGCUUCGGAUUCAUGACAGAGUUGAAGAGGGCUUCGAGGUCUGUGUCUAGGUCCUGCGUGACGUGGAUCACUUGCUGCCCAGGCGGCGGGAGCGGAGGGGGCGCCGAGGCCGGAUUCAUCUUCUGCAAAAAGAAGGACAGGCAGCCCCCCGAAAGAAGUUCAGCCCGAGCCAACUCCACCACGUCUCGACUCCGGAAGCCCGAGGAGCCUGGAGCCCUGGAGUGGUGCCGGAUGAGCGCGCGAGCUCCAGCGGGCACUACCUGGGCGGGCAGCGAAGCUGAGCCUGAGCGCGCGGCGGCCGCCGUCCCGCCCGAACUUGCCGUCGGGCCUGGGUCGCUCGGGUGAGUCCCGAGAUUGCGGAGCUGGAGCCGAGGCUUGGCUGACAAAUCCCGACCCGACUCUGUGCCUGGCAGUCUAAGGGCUUCGGCUCUCACAUCCCCCGAGCUGGCCUAAGGCGCUAGUGCUGGGCGAAAAGGAGGCGCAGGAGAAGCAGACAGCGCGGCCGCAGCAGCUCCCGGACUGUCCCAUAAACAAAGUUUGGAGCAAACUCCCACCCCCAGGAAAGAGGCGGGCCCGAAAGUUGAGCUGUUGAAUUAUGUAUGACCUCCUAGUCCCUAGCCGGCCAGCCCCCGCUCGCCCCUCCUCUUCCUCCUCCUCCUCCUCCCACCUCGGCUCCAGAAAACCCUGGGCGUGAUGGGUACUUUACUGGGUAAGAGGAGACGGGUGCCCCCCACCCACUCCUCCCGGCCGCGCGGACCUCUCCCGCUCAGACCUGCAUCUGCAUUCCUUUGAGUUUACCACGGACUUGGGGCGGGAUCAAAGGGAAAGUGGCCUGAGCCUGUUUCAUCAAGGGGUUGUGGACCGAAACCAAGGCCGGGGGUGGCGGAGGGCACGCGGAUGAGGGGCUCAGGCCUAGGAAGGGCCGGUCCUGGACACCGCGCCCUCCCCUGCAGCCAGGCGCCGAGGCCUGCAGCACCCGGAGCGCCGCACUGACCCGCGAUUCUGCCCGAAGGCCGGCCCGGGUGCGCCCCGGCGCGGGGAGACACCAACAAGGCCAGCUUUUCCACGAGAGGCUGCUUAGCUCUUGUGACCAUAUUUGGUCUGGCGAGGAGGCAUCUUGGCUGCCUGGCUCUCAAUUGUCUGCUAGAGCACAGACGGUGCCCAGAAAGUGCCUCUGUCACUGGAGAUGCGGCUUCGCCAACGGGUGGGUUGUAAACAAACAACUUUCAAACCAUUCAUCAAUCCUUAAUUUCCUCUACGGGGGUGACUCAGGCCACUAGAGAUUGAGAAGAAAAAGCUGGGUGUUGGAAGAGAAGAGCAAUUGCACCCCCCUCCCCCGCAACAUCCGUGAGGGUUGUGGGAGGAUUGGAAUGUCCCUGCCGCCCUCCGGGGAGCCUGGAGCCGGGAUGGAACCCGAGCAGGUGGCUGGAAGUAGAGAGGGUGCGCCAGUGACCCGAAAAAAGCCACCCACCUUCCCACCAACUAGAUCUGGGCGAGGGAUGGAGACCCCCUGCCUCUAGCUAAGGGAAGAAGGUCAAGUCUGGCGAAACAGCUGCGGGAAGUAGGAGGAGGCCUUGCCCUUCAGAGCAGCUCAAUUUCUUUUCUCUCUGGUUGCCUCUCCACUGAGGGGAAAGGGUGGGGGGAGAUGGCGAGGUAAGCCAAAUUCCAGGAAGCCCCUACUCCACCCCAUUUGAUUCAAAUAGGAGUUUAUUAAGUAAAUCAAACGAGACAAUGUAAAGCACUUCGCACAGCACCGGGCUGGUUACGUAAGUGUUUGUUAAAUAAAAGAGAACUGUAUGUUCUUCAAGUUCA
rnacentral:lncRNA from 1 species